rnacentral:lncRNA from 1 species
GCUGCGUGCUAGCUUUGUUUUCUUAUUUUCUAGUGCAAAGAGGGUUCCUGAUUUGAGGGCAGCGUGCCACAAGAGUGGCUGGACCGUCUCAACCCUUUGACAGGGUCUUGUAGCAAACACAAAGCUAAUGGGGAACAGGUGACUAUUUUACCACACUGCCCAUCACACGGAGGCAUCAGCAGUCCAUGUGAGCAUUCUACACACUUCAAUCAUACAGAGAUAAUGGAGAUCGACGUGAACAUUAUGCAUAUUUCUACCAUGCAGGUAACAGGGAUUCAGGUGCUGUGAACAUCCUUCUCCCUGUAAGACAGAUAUAGUGGAAAUGAAAGAAUUAUCUGACUACAUAAAGUGCUGCAUAUAUUUUCCUACCCUUAAG